rnacentral:lncRNA from 1 species
AUAUUGCUCAUUUAAAAACUAUAUUGCAAGCACUACAAAAUCAAAAAUUCUUUGUUAAGCUUACCAAAUGUAGUUUUGCAACCGCGAAAGUAAGUUACCUAGGUCACAUAAUUUCUGCUCAGGGAGUCAACCCAGACCUAGAGAAAGUCAAUGUCAUGCAUAAUUGGCCUCAACCAUGAUCGCUCUCGUCGCUCCCCUCAUCGACUUAUUACAACACCCCAAAUUUACAUGGUUUGGGAUCGUAGAGCAAGUAUUUGAAAAUUUAAAACUACAUACAUCACAAGUGUCUACCCUACACCUUCCAGACUUCAAGCUCCCCUUCGUGGUGGAAAUAGAUGCCUCAGUCAUGGCAGUAGGAGCAAUCCUCAGCAAAAUAGGACAUCUACUUACCUUCUUCAGUAAAAAGAUGAACCUCAAACUCCAAACAUCCUUUGUAUAUGUUCAUGAGAUGUAUGCAAUCACAGAAUCAAUAAAAAAAAUGGCAUCAGUAUCUCAUAGACCAGCAUUUCAAGAUAAUUACAAAUUAAAAGAGUUGAAAUACCCUUCUUUCCCAAACCAUACAAACCCCCAAGCAACAGAAAUGAACAAGAUAAGUUACAGGAAUAUGACUUUCAAAUUGUGUACAUACCUGGAAAGGAAAAUGUCGUGGUUAAUGCUCUUUCACGACAAGGUCAAGACCAUUCAUCCAUACUCUGCUAGCAUUAUCAUCUCCCAUCCCAUAGCUAGUUCAAGAAAUCCAACAAUUUUUUGAGUCCACAAAAUGCCAGGAAGUAGUUCAAGCAUGCAAAGGCAGUCAAUAGAACCCAAGCCUUUUCUCCACAAGCCAAGGGUUAUUAUUUUUUCGCCACCAAAUUUUGUGCCAGCAGCAAAUAGUUUUCGUUAUCACAUCAUGCACGAAUUCCAUGUUUCCCCUUUCGACGGCCACUUCAGCAUCAAACCCACACUGAAGCGCAUUGCUCCCUCAUUCUAUUGACCGAAAUGGACUAGAGACAUCCAGCGUUUCGUUCAAGACUGCUCCACAUGUCAAAAAAACAAAUACAUGCCAACCAAAAUCUAGGGACUACUCCAAAAAUUACCAAUUCCAAAACAAGUAUGAGAAGAUAUAUCAAUGGAUUUUAUUACUAACUUACCCGUUUCAGCCGACCACUCGGUCAUUUGGGUCAUCUGUGACUGACUCACAAAGUAUGUGCAUUUCAUAGCAUUUCCCACACCCUUCACAACCUAACAACUCACCAAAGGUUUUCCAAUUGAGAUAUGUUGCCUCCAUGGACUACUAAGAACCAUUAUAUUAGACAAAGACCUUUUGAUCGUCAGUACUUUUUGGUAUACUCAAAGCACGAAGAACCAUAUUAAAGUUCAGUUCGUCAUACCAUCCACAAACUAAUGGCCAAACAGAAGUGCUUAACCGCGGAUUAGAAGCUUACCUGAGAUGUUUCGUAGGAACCCAACCUAGCAAGUGGUAUCAAUAUCUUCAUUUGGCAUAACUAUGACACAAUACCAUCCACCAUUCGACUAUAGGAACCUCCUCGUUCCAUGCUAUGUACGGUCGGUCGCCACCCACUAUCAUUGACAUGUUGCACUCCCCAAACGCAGGUGCAACCAAUCCCGAGAUACUGUCACACCAUACCAUCAUCCUCCACGAACUCAAGGAGAACUUGCAACGCACACGCAAGUGAAUGUGCAACCAAGAAAAUUGUUAUCGUGUCGACCGUAGAUUCAACCCCGGUGAAUGGGUGUUGGUACGCCUCCAACCCUACCAGCAACACUCAUUGGAUCGACGUUCAAACCAAAAGUUGGGCCUGCAUUUUCUAGGCCCAUACAAGGUCCUUUGUUGCGUCGGCGUCGUCGCGUACGAACUCCAACUACCAGAGUCAACUUGCGCCCACCCCAUCUUCCAUGUAUCGCUCCUUAGACCAUUCAAAAGGUCACUCAAAAGUUAUCCACCUUUUUCUAAAAUAACCAUUAACUCCCUCUCUCCACCAACACUUAACUUAUCCCAAAACACAAGUCAUAACUCUCUAAACACACCGCACAAUGAAGCCAAUGCCAUCGCACCACGUGUCUCACUCACAACACACUCCCAAUGCCUCGAGCCUAGCGAAAAUGCGUCCACCCAAAAGCCUCCUUACACGACUCAUAACUCUCUAAACACACCUCAUAAUGGAGCCAAUGUCAGUGUGCCACGUGCCCCACUCACAUUUUGCGCACAAUCCCAAUGUCUCGAACCCAACGAAAACGCGUCCCAAGAGCCUCCUUCCACUCCUAACCUUAAUGUGCAAGCGGUGCCCCCUUCUAACCCUAGCAACCUAUCCACCAUAACCAGCCCAAAAUGCUUCUCGCGACCCAACUUCCCGUUGCACCGUCAUGUCACUACAAAGACACUCCACCACACAACAAAACAAAUCCUCAAUUGGUUCAACCCUAGUUUAAUUACUCUCCAACAGCCCAGCUGACCCCAAGGCUCCACUUUGAGGAUAAAGUGUCUUUUGGGGCAGAUAGUAAUGUUAGAGUGCAUCCCUACACAAGCACAAAAGCCUACUAGAGUGGGAUAGUUAUGAUCUUAAUAUUAGCCAUUAGGCAUUGAUGGUUGGGUGGAGUCUUGAUAAAGCUUUAUGUAAAACUUUUUGGGAGGGAUAAGUUGGUGGUUGUGUAGCUUAAGGUGUACCUUGUUGAACUAUUUAGGACAAACAUUGGAAAUAGUUACAAUAGAAAAGGAAUUCUAGGUUGAUAACACACAAAAGAUAGUAUACCUUUUUGGUUGUAUUAUGAAAUGAGAAGUUUCAAAGUCAGGAUGCAUGUGGGAAGCUUCAUUUC